rnacentral:rRNA from 1 species
UGGGUGGCGGACGGGUGAGUAACGCGUGGGUAACCUGCCUCAUACAGGGGGAUAACAGUUAGAAAUGACUGCUAAUACCGCAUAAGACCACAGCACCGCAUGGUGCAGGGGUAAAAACUCCGGUGGUAUGAGAUGGACCCGCGUCUGAUUAGGUAGUUGGUGGGGUAACGGCCUACCAAGCCGACGAUCAGUAGCCGACCUGAGAGGGUGACCGGCCACAUUGGGACUGAGACACGGCCCAA